GCAUGGCAACAUGGAUAACCAGAUCAUGUAUUGUUAUCUACAAACUUAGAAUAAACUGGGGGCUUCUAUGGAUUCUGUUUUUUGCUUUCCUAACGAGAUGACCGGAAAUACUUGGAAGAAAGAACGGUGGUGAAAGAAGCUGGGCUGGAGGGCCGGAUAGCCACACACCAGGCAUCUAAGAACCAGAAGAUGAUGCAUGCAGGUGGCCAAUCACAGCAGGAAGAAGAUGUUGCAGGGGGCCCCUCACAGAAGGAGCCGGAAGAAAAUGCAAGUGACCCAUCGCAGCAGGAUGAUACCUGGGGAGACGAUCCACAGGCGCCACCGGCCCAAAGAAAAUAUGGGUAUGGGAGGAGGAGGCGGAAGAAGAGCAUUGAAAGAGGAAGCCCGGGAUGAUGUCCUCGCUGCUCAAAAGCAGGAAUGAUUUGUUUUCCGAAUUGGUUAAAAUAAAUAAAUGAAUGCUUUACAUUUCUGUUAAUUCUGUUGUACAUAAAGCUUGCUUUGUGG
ensembl:lncRNA